rnacentral:rRNA from 1 species
CCUACGGGUGGCAGCAGUGAGGAAUAUUGGUCAAUGGGCGUAAGCCUGAACCAGCCAAGUCGCGUGAGGGAUGAAGGCUCUAUGGAUUGUAAACCGCUUUUAUAAGGGAAUAAAGUGCGGGACGUGUACCGUUUUGUAUGUACCUUAUGAAUAAGGAUCGGCUAACUCCGUGCCAGCAGCCGCGGUAAUACGGAGGAUCCGAGCUUUAUCCGGAUUUAUUGGGUUUAAAGGGUGCGUAGGCGGCCUUUUAAGUCAGCGGUGAAAGUCUGUGGCUCAACCCUUGAAUUGCCUUUGAAACUGGAGGGCUUGAGUUUGUUUGCGGCAGGCCGAAUGCUUUGUGUAGCGGUUAAAUGCUU